UUUCUUGUUUUUUUUUUUUUCUUUUCUUUCUUUCUUUUCUUCUCCCUCCCUCUCCUUUUGAGCCCUAUUUUGAGGAUGGCUGACGACAAGGGGACAAAAACCGCAAGGAGAGCUCCUGCCCGAAUGGGGAUGUUGAAAGGAAAACUAUCGUCAACAAACAAUAUUUUUGGGCUCACAAAAGAAAAAAAGAAGUCAGAUC
rnacentral:ribozyme from 13 species